ensembl:snRNA U6 U6 spliceosomal RNA
UCCAGUGCUUGGUUUGGCUGGACAUGGGCUAAAAUUGAGACUACACACCGAAGAUUAGCAUGGCCCCUGUGAGCGGAGGACAAGGAAAUUUGUGUGGUUUCACAUUUUUAA